GGGUUGUGAGGUUAAGCGACUAAGCGUACACGGUGGAUGCCCUGGCAGUCAGAGGCGAUGAAGGGCGUGCUAAUCUGCGAUAAGCGCCGGUAAGGUGAUAUGAACCGUUAUAACCGGCGAUACCCGAAUGGGGAAACCCAGUGUGACUCGUCACACUAUCAUUAACUGAAUCCAUAGGUUAAUGAGGCGAACCGGGGGAACUGAAACAUCUAAGUACCCCGAGGAAAAGAAAUCAACCGAGAUUCCCCCAGUAGCGGCGAGCGAACGGGGAGGAGCCCAGAGCCUGAAUCAGCAUGUGUGUUAGUGGAAGCGUCUGGAAAGGCGCGCGAUACAGGGUGACAGCCCCGUACACAAAAGCGCAUGUGCUGUGAGCUCGAUGAGUAGGGCGGGACACGUGGUAUCCUGUCUGAAUAUGGGGGGACCAUCCUCCAAGGCUAAAUACUCCUGACUGACCGAUAGUGAACCAGUACCGUGAGGGAAAGGCGAAAAGAACCCCGGCGAGGGGAGUGAAAAAGAACCUGAAACCGUGUACGUACAAGCAGUGGGAGCCCCACCACUAAGCCAGUGGUGAACUCCACAUACGCAUCCUUUGCUGAGGAUACGGUUAACGGAGCGAAAGCGACGUUCAACCGCAAAAGAAGCAGAGGGGGCUUAGUGGUGGG
rnacentral:rRNA from 1 species